rnacentral:rRNA from 1 species
CGGACCGGCGCACGGGUGAGUAACGCGUAUGCAACUUACCUAUCAGAGGGGGAUAACCCGGCGAAAGUCGGACUAAUACCGCAUGAAGCAGGGGCCCCGCAUGGGGAUAUUUGCUAAAGAUUCAUCGCUGAUAGAUAGGCAUGCGUUCCAUUAGGCAGUUGGCGGGGUAACGGCCCACCAAACCGACGAUGGAUAGGGGUUCUGAGAGGAAGGUCCCCCACAUUGGAACUGAGACACGGUCCAA